UACCUACGGGACGCAGCAGUGGGGAAUAUUGGACAAUGGGGGGAACCCUGAUCCAGCGACGCCGCGUGAGUGAAGAAGUAUUUCGGUAUGUAAAGCUCUAUCAGCAGGGAAGAAAAUGACGGUACCUGACUAAGAAGCCCCGGCUAACUACGUGCCAGCAGCCGCGGUAAUACGUAGGGGGCAAGCGUUAUCCGGAUUUACUAGGUGUAAAGGGAGCGCAGGCGGCAUGGCAAGUCAGAUGUGAAAGCCCGGGGCUCAACCCCGGGACUGCAUUUGAAACUGUCAGGCUGGAGUGCAGGAGAGGC
rnacentral:rRNA from 1 species